GAAACACAUGAUCCGUUAUUAUGUAAGGAAUAAUUGACAGCAGGCGAAAAAUAAUGCACACGGCAAUGCAGCAUGACACAAAGCGAAGUGCUAAUAGACUGGGGGUGUGCAUUAUUUUUGAAUAAUUCAAAAGAUCGGAAUCAAUUAUUCUACUUAUACCACGGUUACCAAAGAAAUUGACAUUUGACAGGUCAGGCGUGCAUCUUACAAAAAUAUAAUCAUGCUCAAGGAACAUUUCUCAACCAAUCAGAAUAAAGCAUUCAACAGCCCCAUGGUAUAACAUGUUUUACUGUAUUCUAGGCACAGUUUUGCACGGUGUCUCAAACA